rnacentral:rRNA from 1 species
UACAGAGGGGGCAAGCGUUGUUCGGAAUUACUGGGCGUAAAGGGCGCGUAGGCGGUCUUGUAAGUCUUGUGUGGAAUCCCUCGGCUUAACUGAGGAACUGCACGAGAUACUGCGAGACUUGAGUUCGGGAGAGGAAAGCGGAAUUCCGGGUGUAGCGGUGAAAUGCGUAGAUAUCCGGAGGAACACCGGUGGCGAAGGCGGCGUUCUGGACUGCAACUGACACUGAGGAACGAAAGCCAGGGGAGCAAACGGG